AACGCACAUUGCGCCCCCUGGUAUUCCGGGGGGCAUGCCUGUUCGAGCGUCAUUACACCACUCAAGCCUAGCUUGGUAUUGGAGGACGCGGUUCGCCGCGCCUCUUGAAUCUCCCGGCUGAGCGUCACCGUUCUUAGCGUUGUGAUACAUAUUCGCUUCUGAAUUGGUGGUGUUUGUGCCGUUAAACCUUUUCAUUCAAGGUUGACCUCGGAUCAGGUAGGGAUACCCGCUGAACUUAA
rnacentral:misc_RNA from 1 species